rnacentral:lncRNA from 1 species
AAUCCCAGCACUUUGGGAGGCUGAGGCGGGCGGACCACUUGACCCCACAAGUUCAAGAUUAGCCGGGCCUGGUGGUGUGCACCUGUAAUCCCAGCUAUUCGAAGGCUGAGGUAGGGCAAUUGCUUGAACCAGGGAGGUGGAAGUUGCACUGUGCCGAGAUCGUGCCACUGCACUCAGCCUGGGCGACAGAGCGAGACUCCAUCUCAAAAAAAAAAAAAAAUCCUAAUUCUAGUUUGGAGAUCCGUUCUGAAGGAUCCUUUAUAUUGCUUUUUCUCCCAACAUUAAUCUCAAUUCCGUUUGUCUGUGUGCAUUUGCAUGAGGAACUGAACUGUUGCUUUCAUAGGUAUAUCAGAGACUGAGUUUUCUCAGCUCCAAAAAGAAAGGGCAUUUGCCCCUCCCAACUGAAAGGUGCCCCUGAGUGACUGGGGACCUUGUGGGAGUGUCUGAAAGGUUGACCCCGAACGAUGUGCAGUGGUCCUGCAGGGAAAUCCCCAACAAAAAUUAAUUUAGGCCAGGUGCGGUCACACACACAUAAUCCUAGCAUUUCAGGAGGCCGAGGCAGGCAGAUCACUUGAGGUCAUGAGUUCAAGACCAAGCCUGACAAACAUAGCAAAACCGCAUCUCUACUAAUAAUACAAAAAUUAGCCAGGUGUAGUGGUGCGUGCCUGUAACCCCAGUUGCUUAGGAGACUGAGACGUAAGAAUUGCCCGAACCCAGAAAGUGGAGGUUGCAGUGAACCAAGAUUAUGCCACUGCACUCCAGCCGGGGCAACAGAGUAAGACCUUGUCUCAAAAAAAUAUAUAUAUAUAUAUUUAAUUUAAAAACUGGCUCAUCCAGGAAACACAUUGAAGGGCUGAUCACCCAGUGUUGUGAGCCCUCUCAGAAGUCAUAAACCUCUGGAGAGAGAAACUGAGACAUGUAAGAGGGUGGAAACCAUUCAGUGGUGGCACAUUGUGGAGUCCUGCCCACAAGCAGCACGUGAUGAUCCACCACACAGAAACUCUAAGCCACAGCUCAGUUUCUCCUUUUAAGAAAAAAAGAAGUGGAAAACAAAUAAUCUAAGAAUGAGAAGAAAACAAGGAGAAUGACCCUCUUUUGAGCACUCUGUAGGUUUUAUGGCACCUCUACUGCCAAAGUUUAUGUAAAAUGGAAAAAAUAUGGUCUUUGUGCACAUUUACAUUAAGAAAAAAGAGCCCUAAGGUCGACCUACUAAUUAUAGAGUUCCUAAGACCUCUUUUCUCUAUUCUUUUCUGCCUGCUCUAAAUCUGCCAUUAUUUUCUGUUAAGAUAAAAACCACAGUUUAGAUCCAACAAGUUCUUUUUGCAAACCGGUAAAUUUGAAUUUAUCUCAUAGCUAAAAGUUCUGAAGUAAAAGCUAUAGGAUGUGUGUGUGUGUGUAUUUAAAAGGCUUUUAUAAUUUCUAUAAUUUUAUGUUUAAUUGGCCAUUAAAUCUGUUUCAAUUUCCGUCUAGCACACCAGACUUUUUCUCUCCACACUUUAUAAUGUAAAUUUUGCUGUUUGGAGUUCACCUGAGUUGUUUUCUUUAAUAUGCAAAUUUAAGGCUAUUUAGCUGACAACUGCCUAGGGUUGUGAAACAGGUUAUCAAGAAUCUGAAAGUAGCGGGGAGGGAGGAGGGGAAAAAAAGAAUCUGAAAGCCUAAGGAAAAAAAACGUUUUUUAUGAAUCUAUAAGAGGUACCUCUAGGCCAGGUGCAGUGGUUCACGCCUGUAAUCCCAACACUCUGGGAGGCCGAGGUGGGCAGAUCACCUAAGGUCAAGAGUUCGAGACCAGCCUGGACAACAUGGUGAAACCUGUCUCUACUAAAAAUACAAAAAUAGCCAGGCGUGGUGGCACAUGCCUGUAGUCCCAGCUACUCGGGAGGCCGAAGCAGAAGUAUCACUUGAACCCAGCGGGUAGAAGUUGCAGUGAGCUGAGAUCAUGCCAUUGCACUCCAGCCUGGGUGACAAGAGAAAAACUCUGUCUCAAAAAAAAAAAAAAAAAGAUGUACCUCUAUCAGCAUGCCUAAUGUGUCUAUGUAUUUAUGUGUUGUGUACACAAUGUUUCACUACUGAAAAUAUAUAAAAGAGCUCUAAUUAAUUGGCGUAAGAAAAUAAAAGUGCUUAAAUCAAACACUUAUUCAGGAAAAAAUAAAAUAGUCAAAUGCUUUUUCAAGUUUACAUAACUUAAGUAAAAUCUUUACUAAUGUUGAUGAAAAAAAUCAAACUCUGUAAAAUAUUUGAAGAGAUUUAUUCUAAGCCAAAUAUGAGUAACCAUGGCCCAUGACACAGCCCUCAGGAGGUCUUGAGAACAUGAGCCCCAGGUAGUUGGGGUGCAGCUUGGUUUUAUAAAUUUUUGGGAGGCAUGAGACAUCAAUCAAAUACAUUUAAGAAAUACAUUGGUUUGGUCCAGAAAGACGGAACAACUCAAAGGGGGGCUUCCAGACUAUAGGUAAAUUUAAACAUUUUCUGGUUGAAAAUUGGUUGAGUUUGUCUAAAGACCAGGGAUCAUAGAAAGGAAAUAUUUAGGUUAAGAAAAAACACUGUGGAGACCAAGGUUCUUUUGAAGUCUUAUAGUGGCUGCCCUUAGAGAAAAUAGAUGACAAAUAUUUCCAAUUCAGAUCUUCAAAGGGUGCUAGACUUUUAGUUAAUCUCUUUAGGAUUGAGAGGGCCUGAAAGAAAAAGAUUUAGCUAUGUUAAUAGAGAUUCUUUAUAUAUGCACAUUUUACCCCACAAAGGACAGCUUUGCAGGCCAUUUCAAUAGAUGGCAAAGAAACAUGAUUUAAGGUAAAAUAUUUUGUUUUGCUUCCUUGUCUCAUAAUGUUAUGCCACAGUCAGGUUGGAAAGUAAGUCACAAUAUAUAGGGUUAAGUAAAAACCAUCUAAUAAUUUAUUAUUUGUAGCGCAUGACUCCCCAGACCCCUUACACAGGAAUUUGAGCAAGAUAUAAAAUCAGAAUUUAGUCCUCACUGAGCUAGGUUUAAAAUUAUUGUUACAUUAAUGUUAGAAAUGUCUUAGGAAUUGCCAGCAUACAUUUUUGUUUGUGUCAGGCCUCUGAGCCCAAGCCUGCACCUAUACAUCCAGAAGACCUGAGGAAGCUGAAGAACCACGAAAGAAGUGAAAAUGGCCAGUUCCUGCCUUAACUGAUGACAUUAACUUGUGAAAUUCCUUCUCCUGGACAAUGAGUCUCAAAAGCUCCCCCACUGAGCACCUUGUGACCCCCACCCCUGCCCGCAAGAGGACAACCCCCUUUGACUGUAAUUUUCCACUACCUACCCAAAUCCUAUAAAAUUGCCCCAACCCUAACUCCCUUUGCUAACUCUCUUUUCCGACUCACCCCGCCUGCACCCAGGUGAUUAAAAAGCUUUAUUGCUCACACAAAGCCUGUUUGGUGGUCUCUUCACACGGACGCACUUGACAUUUGGUGCCGAAGACCCAGGACAGGGAGACUCCUUCGGAAGACAGGUCCCCUGUCCUCACCAUCACUCCAUGAGGAGAUCCACCUAAGACCUCGGGUCCUCAGACCAGCUCAAGGAAUACCUUACCAACUUCAAAUCGGACAGGAUUGUCAGGCCUCUGAGCCCAAGCCUGCACCUGUACAUCCAGAUGGACUGAGGAAACUGCAGAACCACAAAAGAAGUGAAAAUGGCCAGUUCCUGACUUAACUGAUGACAUUACCUUGUGAAAUUCCUUCUCCUGGACAAUGAGUCUCAGAAGUUCCCCACUGAGCACCUUGUGACCCCCACCCCUGCCCGCAAGAGAACAACCCCCUUUGAGUGUAAUUUUCCACUACCUACCCAACUCCUAUAAAACUGCCCCACCCCUAACUCCCUUUGCUGUCUCUUUUUCUGACUCAGCCCACCUGCACCCAGGUGAUUAAACAGUUUUUUUGCUCACACAAAGC